GCUGGUUACCGACGUGGUGGACUGUUUCAGAAUAUGGCGGUGUUAGGCCACAGGCCAGAUCCUGUGUGUUGCCCAGCUUCCAGCCUCCUAAGAUUGAUGACUGGGAAAUCUCGGGAUCCUGACUUUGCAUUGUGACCAGGUUUGGAGAGGUGACCUAGGACUCGAAGUGUUGCUGAGUGGCUCUGAGGUUCGCUGGCUGGAGUGGAAGACUGUGAUAGGCAGCAUUCACGCUAUGGAAACAAGUCCCUCACCCGGACCGGGUUGUGUCAGCUCUACACAGUCUGGAUCCUAAGAGGUGACGUAGGACUUUAAUUGUGUGGCUCUGAGGUUCGCUGGCUGGGAUGGAAGGCUGGUAUUGCACAGCUGUGGACAACACGGAAACAGGCCCUUCACUCUGACUGGGUUGUGUCAGCUCCAUGCAAUCUGAUUGGUUUUACAGGUUCCCAGAGGUGGCCUCGGACUCAGAUUACGUGGCUCUGAGGUUUGCUGGCUGGGUUGGAAGACUCGUGUUACACAGCUGUGGGCAGGCAACAUUCACGCGAUGGAAACAGACUCCUCACCCUGACUGGAUUGUGUCAGCUCCACACAAUCUGGAUCCUAAGAGGUGACGUAGGACUUUAAUUGUGUGGCUCUGAGGUUUGCUGGCUGGGAUGGAAGGCUGGUGUUAUACAUUUGUGGACUGACAGCAUGCUAUUCCUGAUGAAGGGCUUAUGCUCGAAACGUCGAAUUCUCUAUUCCUGAGAUGCUGCCUGGCUUGCUGUGCUUUGACCAGCAACACAUUUGCAGCAUGGAAACUGGCCCCUCAACCUGAUUGGGUUGUGUUGGUUCCAUGCAAUCUGAUUGGGUUCGGAGACUUGACUGAAAUGCCUCAUCGUUGAGGUUGCAGGGAGCCAGGGCAGGGAUGCGAUCUUCCUGUGACUACGGCACAAGUGGGAGAAAAUGUGGAUAAUUUUCUUUUGUGAAGCUUUCAUCGCCUGAAGCUGACCAGUCAGCUUGUGCAGUCCUGCCACUUGGUUGAUGUUUUUUACUUGAAGGGUUAAGCUGUAUUUGUGUUGAGUGCUGCAAAGUUUUCUUUGUCUGGGGUGGGGGGGUGGAAUCUGUGCUGGUAAUAAAGUAAGCCUGAUGGUCCUGUCAUUGGUAUUCAAAGUUGCAUGCUUUCCUUUACCCAGUGUGGUUAGUGUCAUUCCCUCAGCACAUUUUGGAAUCAUAAAAUCCCUGUAGUGUGAAAGCAAGCCAUCUGUCCCAUUUGAGCUGAAAAUGUGUUGCUGGAAA